rnacentral:rRNA from 1 species
GACGAACGCUGGCGGCGUGCUUAACACAUGCAAGUCGAGCGGAAAGGCCUCUUCGGGGGUACUCGAGCGGCGAACGGGUGAGUAGCACGUGAGUAAUCUGCCUCUGGCUUCGGGAUAGCCACCGGAAACGGUGAUUAAUACCGGAUACGACACAUCACUGCAUGGUGCGUGUGUGGAAAGUUUUUUCGGCCAGGGAUGUGCUCGCGGCCUAUCAGCUUGUUGGUGGGGUAAUGGCCUACCAAGGCUUCGACGGGUAGCCGGCCUGAGAGGGUGACCGGCCACACUGGGACUGAGACACGGCCCAGACUCCUACGGGAGGCAGCAGUGGGGAAUAUUGGACAAUGGGCGGAAGCCUGAUCCAGCAACGCCGCGUGAGGGAUGACGGCCUUCGGGUUGUAAACCUCUUUCAGCACAGACGAAGCGCAAGUGACGGUAUGUGCAGAAGAAGGACCGGCCAACUACGUGCCAGCCGCCGCAGUAAAAC